GACGAACGCUGGCGGCGUGCUUAACACAUGCAAGUCGAACGGAAAGGCCCUGCUUUUGUGGGGUGCUCGAGUGGCGAACGGGUGAGUAACACGUGAGUAACCUGCCCUUGACUUUGGGAUAACUUCAGGAAACUGGGGCUAAUACCGGAUAGGAGCUCCUGCUGCAUGGUGGGGGUUGGAAAGUUUCGGCGGUUGGGGAUGGACUCGCGGCUUAUCAGCUUGUUGGUGGGGUAGUGGCUUACCAAGGCUUUGACGGGUAGCCGGCCUGAGAGGGUGACCGGCCACAUUGGGACUGAGAUACGGAGCAGAGUCCUACGGGAGGCAGCAGGGGGGAAUAUUGCACAAUGAGCGGAAGCCUGAUGAAGCAACGCCGCGUGCGGGAUGACGGCCUGCGGGUUGUAAACCGCUUUCGCCUGUGACGAAGCGUGAGUGACGGUAAUGGGUAAAGAAGCACCGGCUAACUACGUG
rnacentral:rRNA from 1 species